rnacentral:tRNA from 1 species
GUAGCGUAGCGUAGUGGUGCGGUGCCUGGAUGUGGAUCAGGUGGUCGUGGGAUCGAUUCCCCGCGGCGCCACA